rnacentral:lncRNA from 1 species
GAUACAUCUCAGUAAAGAAGCAGAGAGGAUCAGGAGAUAUGAAGAUAUGAGAUAUGAAGGAGUCUCCUUCCUUGGAGACCUGCAAAAGCUGCCUGGACUUGGUCCUGCUGGCUCUGCAAGGGGGUUGGACCAGGUGAACGUCAGAGGUCCCUUCCAACCUCAGUCAUUCUGCAAUCCUGUGACAGGAGAACAAACCCUGUCCUGUUGGAACUGCUUUUGUCCAUAGCAAGGAGACCUGCGUGGGCUUUGCCCAGGGCUGGACAUGGCUCAGCGUGUCCUUCCCACUUCAUGUCUGGCAUGUGGCUGUGCAGGGCCUCUCUGAGAGGGCUCGGGCAGAAGAGGCAGCAUGGGUUUGUGCCACCAAGGGUGCAAGCUCUGGCUCAGCUGGCACCUCUGGAGACAGAGAGAAAUGAGAAAUGAGGAGUAAGUGCCUGACGAGAGGAGUAUCCUGGGAGUUUCUGCUGGGGCAGGCCUGCACCAGCGGGCUGCAUGGCUGGGCUGCAAUACAAGGAGACCAUGUACCAUGUACGGCUGACCAUGACCAGAGACAGUUUGUAGAAAAAGAGUUGCUGAAUGAACAUGUCACUGGCUUGUCACUUCUCCAUUCUUCUCCGUGUCUCUGCCCUUCCUUUAAUAGUCUGAACCAAUUUUGGAAAAGUCUCUGAUGCCAUUGAUGAUACAUUGCCUCAGAGAACCAGCUAAUAGUCAACGUGGGCACACGGCUUGCUGCACGGUCACUGCUAAUGAAAGAGCAAUGUGAGUAUGGGCAGCACUGGCAAGAACCUGAUUAUGAGUUGUACAUGCUGCCACUGCUGUUCAAAAAAUCCCAUUUUUAGUACUUUUAUU